GAGGAAAGAAAAUUCUCGGCAUCAUUGUAAUCCUAAAUUUGAAAUGAUUAGACAUGAUGUUGUUGAACCAUUGCUGUUGGAAGUUGAUCAGAUCUAUCAUUUAGCUUGUCAUGCUUCUCCUGUUCAUUACAAAUUCAAUCCUUUCAACACUUUCAUAUCCUUUUUCACAUUUUUUUUCUUCUUUCAAAAUCUCUUCCUUGAAUUGAAGUUUUUGUAAAACAGGGAAAUUAGGUUUAUGUCAACUUAGGAUUUUUAUAUAAUUUGAUGGUUAAGCAUCAAAUUCAGAGUUCUUGAAUGAAUAAAAUUGUUGGGUUUGUAUCUAAUUCGAAAUUGCAGGAGUUUAAAAUAAUAAUUGGAGCUAUAAAAGGGAUGAGACUAAGGCAAUAAAAAGACACAAUCGAUUGCACCCCUUUCCUGCUUGAGAAAGUCUCCACAUAUGCAUGAGUUGCACCAUCUUUUCCAUCACCUAAAUCAGUAUACUAUCCACUAUUCUCUACCACCAGCUUGUUCUCAUACAUCCCCAUCUUCACAACCAUCUAUCUCAGACAGUUCAGGGUGCAAGUAAGAGAAAACUGAUGGUGUGUUGUGUGAGGAGAUGGUAUGAGAUUGUGUGUGGACUGUCGGUAUGGACGCGAGCAGGUGAUAUACGAGGUAUCUGGUGAUGGUGGUAAAGGUCGGAGAGAGAAUUUUUUCUGUUGGUAGAGUUCAGGUCGUGUAUCUGGUAAUAGAAAGUGAUACUAGGUGGCAGUGGACAUACAAAUGAUGUAAGAAGGAACUUCAGGGUAGUGUAAAUGUCUUAUUUGAUAGCAUGAUAACCAAAGAUGUAGGAAAGCUCGGGUUCUUGAUUCCACUUCUGAAUUGCAGCUAGGUGGAGCACAUAGAAAAUUGAGGAAAGAAAC